rnacentral:rRNA from 1 species
UACGAAGGGGGCUAGCGUUGCUCGGAAUCACUGGGCGUAAAGCGCACGUAGGCGGCUUUCUAAGUCAGGGGUGAAAUCCUGGAGCUCAACUCCAGAACUGCCUUUGAUACUGGAGAGCUUGAGUCCGGAAGAGGUGAGUGGAACUCCGAGUGUAGAGGUGAAAUUCGUAGAUAUUCGCAAGAACACCAGUGGCGAAGGCGGCUCACUGGCCCGGUACUGACGCUGAGGUGCGAAAGCGUGGGGAGCAACAGGG